rnacentral:rRNA from 1 species
ACGAACUCUGGUAUUGAUUGGUGCUUGCAUCAUGAUUUACAUUUGAGUGAGUGGCGAACUGGUGAGUAACACGUGGGAAACCUGCCCAGAAGCGGGGGAUAACACCUGGAAACAGAUGCUAAUACCGCAUAACAACUUGGACCGCAUGGUCCGAGCUUGAAAGAUGGCUUCGGCUAUCACUUUUGGAUGGUCCCGCGGCGUAUUAGCUAGAUGGUGGGGUAACGGCUCACCAUGGCAAUGAUACGUAGCCGACCUGAGAGGGUAAUCGGCCACAUUGGGACUGAGACACGGCCCAAACUCCUACGGGAGGCAGCAGUAGGGAAUCUUCCACAAUGGACGAAAGUCUGAUGGAGCAACGCCGCGUGAGUGAAGAAGGGUUUCGGCUCGUAAAACUCUGUUGUUAAAGAAGAACAUAUCUGAGAGUAACUGUUCAGGUAUUGACGGUAUUUAACCAGAAAGCCACGGCUAACUACGUGCCAGCAGCCGCGGUAAUACGUAGGUGGCAAGCGUUGUCCGGAUUUAUUGGGCGUAAAGCGAGCGCAGGCGGUUUUUUAAGUCUGAUGUGAAAGCCUUCGGCUCAACCGAAGAAGUGCAUCGGAAACUGGGAAACUUGAGUGCAGAAGAGGACAGUGGAACUCCAUGUGUAGCGGUGAAAUGCGUAGAUAUAUGGAAGAACACCAGUGGCGAAGGCGGCUGUCUGGUCUGUAACUGACGCUGAGGCUCGAAAGUAUGGGUAGCAAACAGGAUUAGAUACCCUGGUAGUCCAUACCGUAAACGAUGAAUGCUAAGUGUUGGAGGGUUUCCGCCCUUCAGUGCUGCAGCUAACGCAUUAAGCAUUCCGCCUGGGGAGUACGGCCGCAAGGCUGAAACUCAAAGGAAUUGACGGGGGCCCGCACAAGCGGUGGAGCAUGUGGUUUAAUUCGAAGCUACGCGAAGAACCUUACCAGGUCUUGACAUACUAUGCAAAUCUAAGAGAUUAGACGUUCCCUUCGGGGACAUGGAUACAGGUGGUGCAUGGUUGUCGUCAGCUCGUGUCGUGAGAUGUUGGGUUAAGUCCCGCAACGAGCGCAACCCUUAUUAUCAGUUGCCAGCAUUAAGUUGGGCACUCUGGUGAGACUGCCGGUGACAAACCGGAGGAAGGUGGGGAUGACGUCAAAUCAUCAUGCCCCUUAUGACCUGGGCUACACACGUGCUACAAUGGAUGGUACAACGAGUUGCGAACUCGCGAGAGUAAGCUAAUCUCUUAAAGCCAUUCUCAGUUCGGAUUGUAGGCUGCAACUCGCCUACAUGAAGUCGGAAUCGCUAGUAAUCGCGGAUCAGCAUGCCGCGGUGAAUACGUUCCCGGGCCUUGUACACACCGCCCGUCACACCAUGAGAGUUUGUAACACCCAAAGUCGGUGGGGUAACCUUUUAGGAACCAGCCGC